CCUUCCUCUAUCGCUAUUUGGCCGGCGAGAACCACCACGACCCACCUGCACCCACCACCUGCCUCAUCCCAAGAUCUGGCUGGCAACCAUGGGGACGAACCGGACCACAGCGGUGCCUCACCCCACCACCACCUGCCUUGUGUGCCUCCGUCGCGUGGGUCAUCGUCCAAAACCACUCCAAGUGAUGUGGGGGUUGACGAGAUUCUUGUCGUGGCAUUGUAGUGCAUCAGGAUCUACCGAGCAGUGCGCCACGUGAUGCGGUUCGGUGGCGCGUGGCCAUGCAGCUCACUACCGCGGACCACUAAUUUUUUGAUUUCGGGCGGUCCCGCUGGAGUUCACUGAUCCUUCUAAUUCUAGAUCGAGUGGAAGAACAAAGGUGACAGCGACCAAGGAUGGUGGUGCAACGUGGCUAUGCAGUCCGGCAAGCACGUGUAUGUAGGACGGUGUGGCGGAUGAAUGUACAGUUUUGUUCACUUAUUCAUUUUUGGGGUGGAUAAUUUCAGCCCAGAUGGCUACUAGUUUUUUGUCUAUUCUUGAGCUUCAGGUUGUAGUUCAUGAGCUAGCAGCAUGCAGCGCGCUGCUGCGGUCGACAAAAAACGUCAAUUUGUUUCUCGGGAUGUUCAUUUGAAGUUCACUCAUGUUUAUA